AUGGUGGUAACGGGUAACGGGGUGUUAGGGCACGACACCGGAGAGGGAGCCUGAGAAACGGCUACCACAUCCAAGGAUGGCAGCAGGCGCGCAAAUUACCCAAUCCCGACACGGGGGGGUAGUGACAAUAAAUAACAAUACGGGGUCCUUUCGGGUUUCGUAAUUGGAAUGAGUACAAUUUAAAUCUCUUAACGAGGAACAAUUGGAGGGCAAGUCUGGUGCCAGCAGCCGCGGUAAUUCCAGCUCCAAUAGCGUAUAUUAAAGUUGUUGCAGUUAAAAAGCUCGUAGUUGAAUUUCGGGAUCAGUACGCCGGUCGUGCCUUCGGUAUGCACUGGUGUCACUGGUUUCUCCCUUCUGAAGAACCAUCAUGCCAUUCAGUUGGUGUGGCGGGGAAUCAGGACUGUUACUUUGAAAAAAUUAGAGUGUUUAAAGCAGGCUCGCGCUUGAAUACAUUAGCAUGGAAUAAUGAAAUAGGACGUUUGACCCUAUUUUGUUGGUUUCCAGGAUCGACGUAAUGAUUAAUAGGGAUAGUUGGGGGCAUUAGUAUUCAAUUGUCAGAGGUGAAAUUCUUGGAUUUAUUGAAGACUAACUACUGCGAAAGCAUUUGCCAAGGAUGUUUUCAUUAAUCAAGAACGAAAGUUAGGGGAUCGAAGACGAUCAGAUACCGUCGUAGUCUUAACCAUAAACUAUGCCGA
rnacentral:rRNA from 1 species